AAGAGUGCAUGGCAAACAAACAUAAUCAUAAGCCAUGUGCUUGACCAAAGACACAAUGGCACAUGGCAUAGGAACAAAUAACUCCCAUCAUGUGCUUACAAUGAAAGACAUGACAUGGAGCGUGAGUAUCCAGAUACUAACAGUGAACCAAAACUAGACAGAUGUGAAAGGAUCCAGACUCACAGCUCCAAACACAAUAAGUUAAACAUUUGAUGCUGCUAAUCAAGUCCUUCAGGCUUAUUUGAAGACUACAUGAUAUAGAUGGUGACCUGAACUCAAUGGCCAGACAGCUGGACUGCACCAGUUGUUGCUGUGGAAAUGAAGUUCUACUGCCAUGUCGAUGAACCGGAUGAAGCACACUUAAUUACAAAGAGGGACAAUUACUUGGGAUGCUAUCUUGCAGUCCUGAAGUCUGCCACAGUAUUAAACAUUAUAUCACCAUAAUGUUUGAUACAGCAAACAGUAAUGAAUGUAAAACCUGGGCUACAGGAUUGCUAAGGCCAAGUGUGAGUCCUGUGUUCCCCUGUAAUUA
ensembl:lncRNA